rnacentral:lncRNA from 1 species
GCGCCUCCCCGAGCUGAGCCGCGCGUCCCGAGCCCAGCCUCUCCGGGGAGGAGGGACCCGGCGGCGCGGCGUGGGUCGGGAGCGGGCGCCUGGGACUACUUCUCGUUUGAAAGUUUUCAGAGGCCAAAAGUUUGAGCCGGGGCUGCGGAAGGAUCCGGCUCUGGCGGUUGCCGCGCUCGGCGACAACUGGCGACUGAAAUUUGCAUGUGAAUAAGCGGAGGAGCCCGGGGCGGAAUGGGGAGGGCGAGGCCGCGGACAGCCGUGUGCACCGUGCGCUGGGCCGGGCGGGGAGCAGCUGAGGCCACGUUGGGGGACCCCGGGCCCGGGGCAGGGCUCUGGGAGAGUGGCCUAGCCGUGUGUGCGCCCCUAGCCCAGCGGCUUCACUCCCUCCCGAGGGCCCCGUGGCCGCGGCUUUAGGCGUCCAGAGGAUCGAUCGCCGCCAGACAUCCCUGGCCGUGAUUGCCCGAGCACUUGACCGCGAGGGAUGGGGGCGCCGCGGCCUCUGGGCAGGGGACUCCGGGCGCCCCGAGGGAGCAGCCGGGACCAGUGCCUCGCGGACGGAUUGUGCCCCGCUCCCCCAAGGGGGACCCGCGUCGACACGCUCCUCGGUCACCGUCCUCCUCCUGCCCGGGCGCCGCCUGCCUAAGGUGGCCCCAGAAAGCACAAACGGGUCGGGCGGAUCUGCCGCUGGCGCCGGCGCAGCCCUUCCCACGUGCUCCUUCCGGCUGAUUUAUUUCUCCACCACGAUGCCAGGCACGGGCACCCUGUGCCAAGCCUGGUUAAGCGCCAGGAGUCCAAAAUGCCUGCCAUAGUCCCUGCGCAAAGUUCACGGCCUCGUGCCAGGGACAGACAGCGCCCCCUCCCCACCCCAACACAGGGUGGUGAGUGCGAUGGCAGAAGGCGCGUGUCCCGGCGCCCCUCCUGGAGUAGGAGGGCUAAGCCUGCCCUGCGGGGAGACCGAAAGGCUGGGAGGGACCUAGGACUGUGGGGGCCUGGGGGGAGGGCUGCAGAAACCCCAGAGCAUGGUGGCAGAGGCAGGCACAGAAAGCAGGACAAAUCUCACACCUGACCCCAGCAAGCCUUUCCUGGCACACCUCUUGCCAAAUGCUGAGCACUCUGGAAACAGCCAGUGCAGGCGGCCUGUCCCGCCCCUGUAGCUGCUGCUGGGAGCCUCCCUCGCCUGCGUCCUCCCAGAAUCUGGCCUCACUUCUGCAGGCCUGGGGUAACAUCUUGGGGUCAGCGCCCCAGGAGAGGAGGCGCCUGGAGGCAGCAGAGAUGUUUAUGUAACAGCAGCCAGGCAGCCUGGAGGAGCAGAUUUUCCAUAGAAGGAAGCGCGGGGCUGUGCAGCUCCCAGGCUGAGGACUCUGCCCACCACGACGUCCUCUGCUCCUGAGAAGAGAGUGGCCCAUUCGGUGUCCACCCGUCAGGCCACCCAGCAGCCAGGCACGCUCAUAAGCCCGCGUUACGGAUGGUGCGGCCGGGUGCACAGGCCCGAGGGAAGCACAGGCCUCGGCCUCCCAGCUCCCAACCCCUGCACCACCCACAGCCGGGAGUACCCCAUGGACAGCUGUGGCCGAGGAGAAGCCAGGGAUGAGGGGGAUGGGCCUCACCUCCCCACCAGCCUGGGAAGGGGGUAGGCCCCUGGCAAGUAGAGAAAUGGGGGUACCAUUGUCAGGGUGAGCUAAGGAGGCCCUGCUGACAUUGGCCCAACCAGGCCCCUCCUUUGCGGCUGCUGUGGGGACUUUCGAGAGCAGAGCACACCCCUAAGUGCGUGGAGAGGUAAGCACAGCUGGUGAGCACACGGGGACAGCGACGGAGCUCAUGGAGACCCAGGUGACCUUAAAACACCCCAGGGCCGGCUCCGGCCCCAGAGAGAUGUGGUCCGAGUAGAGGGGGGUCAGCAGUGACCUGGUGGGUGGGUGUAUUUGAGGGGUGCCUGUGUUGAAAGCUCUGCAGUAGAUUCUAAGGAGCAGCCAGGGCUGAGACUCCCGGUGCUGAGCCCAAGGCCCCUUUCCUUCCUGCAGGAGUUCAUCUUGGCUCUUGCAGCCCCCAUGACCCUGUGGCGCUGGGGGGCGGCUAGCAUGAUGCUCCCCAUUUUUCAGGAGGGAAGCUGAGGCUCAGAGACAUCAUGAGGAUGCCAGCUCAAGGCCCAGCCAGGCCUUGGUCCUCAGCUGCUGUCAUCCAGUAGGGUAAGUGGGACCCCCAGGAGGUGUUGGGGGACACUCCUCCCCUCCCCCACACUCACAGUCUGUUCACCGCCCAAGGCAGCAGGCUGGACUCGGUGCAGGGACCAUGGCUUGGCGUGGCCAGGUUGGAGUGGCCCCUGGGACUGAAAGCAGGGGGCGUGGGGGCUCUGAGGCGGGGCCGAGUGCGGGGACGUCCUGUGGCGGGUACCCUGCUGGGUCCUGGGUGGGGGCCACCACCAGGCAGCUGUGGGAACAUUCCAGACCACCUAGGAGUAGGGCCCCUUCACCGUUUGAAGCUGACUGUAAAAAACAUCUGACCUGUGUGCAAAGCUCAAGCCCAGAGGCCUCCAGGGUGUCCAGCCUCCAGGGUGCCUCCUACGCAGCCUCCACGUCCCCAUCCACUGCAGCCCCUGACCAUCGGGCACACCGUGGGGCCUUCGCUGGCCGCCGGGCCUCAGGUUCUGCUGCACCAAGUGAUUUUUAAAGCCCCAUCUGCCUUUCUCCACUUAUAAAGAACUUGGGACAUUUCCUCGAGGUUGGGCAUUUUUCCAGAUGUGGUUUCAGUGUCUCGCUUGCUACCUGGUCCCCUGUGCUGGGCGGUCCGCUGUGACGCACCUGGCAGUCCUUGCUCUAGGAUGGAUUCGGGCCGGCCCUUGUUCUGAGAACAGAGAACGGCCCUUGUUCUGAGGAGGCUGGGGUCUGGAAUCUGCUUCCUGGUCCCCUGCUGUGUGCAGACAGCCACCGUCACCCAGGCCCAGGGGUGCCUGCAGGUGCUGGGCAUCUCACCCUGGCCCCCACAGGGGCUCCCCAUGCCCUGCACCCCUCGGUCUGUGCCGGGGACUUCCCUGCUCUGCUGUUGCAGGCCUCGUCCUUUGCCGAGGGGGUCUCUUUCCCACGUGUCCCUGAGACUCCUCAGCCAUCCCAGAGGCUCUCGGCCGUCUGAGCACCCCUGACCAUGAAGCCUUCCUGGCCCACUCUCUGUGUGUGAGGCAGAGCCCAUCCCUACCAUUCCGACCCACACCAGAGGCUCCGGAAGGUUUGCUGACUGACCUGUGACUGCAAGAAGCUGAAGGAAUGUGGGCGCAGACCCGGCAGGGGCUUUUCUUGGUGCAAAGUCAACUGGCUGUCCAUGCAAGCCUGCUGCUGUGGCCAGCCCUCCCGCCAGGCGCCUGGGAGUCCCAGGGAGACGGCAGAGGCAGUGCCUGGCUGGGGCCCUGGUUGGCGUGCCGUUUGAGGGGUGCAUGCACUGGGAAGUUGGCCAGGCCUGCCCAAAUCAGGGGGCUUCCAGGAGGAGAGACAUCAGGAGGAUGGGCACAGAGGCGGCUUAGCACCAGGGCUGGCACCUCCAGGUAGGGGCUGUGGGGGGCUGGACCAGACAGGGAGGCUGUCACGAUGCCUGGCUGUUGGAUGGGGGCACAGAGGCUCUGAGUGGGGUGGCAGAGCUUGGCCACCAGGUCCAUCUGCACCCCCCAUGCCCCCUCACUACCCCCAGACCCCCAUGAUCCCAAACUACUCAGUCCCAGGGACCCCUGCAGAGCCUGUGGUGGGGGUGAUCUUCCACCCUGCCUGGCCCCUGCCCACCUCACCUCAGAACUUUCUCCAAAAAGUAAGAGCCCCGGGGGACGAAACUUCGAGGCUCCACCCCUUGGGCUCUGGUACAAACCCCGAGCCUCCUCCGAGGGCUGAGUCACUGGGAAAGCCGGGAUGGGCUGGCCCCUCCCCCUCCCUCUCCUUCCUUCCUCCUUCCCCCUUUCUCGGUCUCCCUCUUUUUCUCUUUGCUUUACUUCUCUUUCUUGCCUCCCUCUCUCCCUCUCUUCUUUCGUUCCUUUCAUCUUCUUCCCUUCCUCCGUCUUUGCCUUUCUUCUUUUCUGAGGGUAAAAAUAGCUGGAAAACCCCCUUAAAAAAGUUUAUUUUAAUCUUAGAGGGACAAUGUUGGUGUCCCAAAGCACAGUCCUUUGCCCCGGAGGAGCCACCGGCAGAGCCAGGAGCCCCUGAAGGACUUUGACCACACCCCCCACCCCACCCCGACCUGUGCCUGGUGCCCCAAGUGGAGCCUGGGCCAUCCUUGACCUCACCGCUGGGGUGAUGGAGAAGCAGCCGCCCGAGGCGAGAGUUUCUCAGGUGGCCGGGGUUUCCCCCCAUUUGCUCCAGACACAUUUAAACAAGCUGAGAACUUCCGUCCCCCCAUACUCCCCCCCGCGGACCCCCACGGACCCCCUCUGCAAAUGAACAUGGGCCUGGAAAUCGGGGUGUGGGUUACAGAGAGCACGGGGAAUUCUGCUCGUGAAGUAACACGGAGCACGAACAUAAGCAGGUACCGCACAUCUGCGAGCUAUUCGGGUCUCCGGGGGAAGGCAAAAAGCCCCAACAAGCCUUAAGUAAGACCAGGACGCUUCUAUAGUUUUGCUUUGACAGCUAAGGAAAAAAUCUGCCAAAAACCAGAGGCGCUGCUGAGUGUUGGCGUGGGAAUGCUAGUUUAGUCAGAGCCUUGCUCUGGGCCAUUUAAAUAAAAACAGACAUGUUGGUGGCAAAUGCCAGUUGAACACGCAGGAGAGCGGUGCUUCUCGGGCCCGGAGAAGGGUUUGCAGCUGCACUCUCUCUUCCCUUUUCUCUUGGCCUCCCCAGCCUUCUUAUCAUCACGAUCAGCAUUUCACUGGUAAACAUUUGGUGCAAUAAUUUUCAAAAAUCAGCAAGAAAAGUCUGAGCGUUUCAUGUGGCUGUGACUGCGUGGCCCCAGCUGGAAGCAUGGAUUCCCAGCGCCUCCCAGAGCCUGUCUCCGAGGGAUACUCUAAUCACUUGAGGGCCUUUGCACGACAUAAAUCAGACCGACUAUCUCUAGAGUGGAGAGGGGGAUAAACUCACUUGUAGCAAGUGAAGGCCAGAGGCUGCCCUGGGAUGGCAUUGCCUGUUCCCAGGGGCUUGUGGUGGUGCAGCAGACAUGGGGACCCCUGGGCCCCUUCCCCUCCUUGCUGGGGAUGCCACACAGACCCACGUUCAGGGACCUGAAUUCAGAGCCUGCCCCAGGGGUGGCGAAUGUAUCUGGGACACUGAGGACCCCCCUACCGGGUGCAUCUCAUGGCCUUUUGGUCUUUUUUUUUGAGACGGAGUCUCACUUUGUUGCCCAGGCUGGAGUGUCAUGGGGCGAUCUCCGCUCACUACCACCUCCGCCUCCCGGGUUCAAGCAAUUCUCCUGUCUCAGCCUCCGAGUAGCUGGGAUUACAGGUAUGUGCCACCACGCCAGCUAAUUUUUCUAUUUUUAAUAGAGAUAGGGUUUCACCAUGUUGGUCAGGCUGGUCUUGAACUCCUAACCUCGGGUGAUCUGCCUGCCUUGGCCUCCCGAAGUGUUGGGAUUACAGGCGUGAGCCACUGCACCUGGCCAGCCUUUUGGUCUUGAAGGGUCUCUGGGAGGGCCUCAGAGAAUGUCUUGGUUUCCUCACUCUUGGGUUCCCAUCGACUGAGGUCAGGGCUGGGAAGGGGUGAUGAGCCCAGGACUCUUCUGGCGAGAGCGAGGGUCUAUGUUGGGGGGCUCCCUUCUGCCACCUCUCCUUGGUGACAUGGGGCUGGCUGGAGAGUCCCUCCGUGCCUGGGAGUUCCUCAGUGUAGGGGGGGAAGGGGGCCACUGCAAUGAAUCUGACACCAGCCCCCUCUCUCUCCGCCCUGCUGGCAGCCCUCACUCAUAUGGGGGGCGGGUCUGUCCUCCUUUCCCCAAAGCUGGGGGUCCUGAGUGUGGUUGGGGUAACGUCUGGUCCUCCUUAGAACAGUGGGGCUUGGAAUUCAUUCAAGGGAAGAAGAGUGAAGGAACGCAGAUGCCGACUGCAUGGAGCCCCCCCGGGCUGCAGCCCCUAGAGCCUGGGCGCUCUGUGAGCCAGAAAGAGAACGGCUGGGGAGAGGGCUGUGUGAGGCCCUGUUCUUCCAAGACCGCUGCGGAGGACCGACGGGGCCCAGGGACCCUGACUGAGGUGUGCCGAGCACAGCAGCUCUGGACAGGCCGCACCGGCCUCUCUGUCUGUCAUCUGUCCACCUGUUGGUGGGCAGGAACAGACCUGAUGCUGUAAGAAGAGGCCCCCAGGACCCUGCCUCUCCCAUUGGCUGAGCCUGGACUGUGGAGCCAGCCGCCCUCACACUGGGCACAGAUGACCGACUUAGGUUUUGAGAAGAUCCAAACAGCAGCAGGACGUGCACCUGGUAGGGGUAGGAGGGCCUCCCCUGGACUCAAAAGUGUAUUCGCGGAGCCCCUUCCCUGCAGCGUAGGCUCUGGGGGGACAGUGGCCAGGACGGAGGCCCUCGUGGAAAGGGGGAGAUGUGAACAGUGAGCCUCCUGCAUGCAGGCAUCUGGGAAAGAACAUUCCAGCCAAGUGGCUCUGAGCACACCCCGACCCUGGCCACCCUGGCCCUGUGGACCAACCCUGGGGCCCAGGAUUAAUGACAGCCAGUGCUCGCUGGUGCCUCCAGCCUGGGCCAGGCCUGUGGGCUGGUCCCUUCAAUGAUGGGGCAAGCUCAGCCCCGUCCACACCCUUCUCCUCCUCCUCUGUGCUUCCCUCCACCCCCAGGAGUGGGCUCCAGGUCUGUCACUCGUCACUCAUGGGGGGCUGUGGGUUGACUCGUAUUCCCCCAAAAGACUCGCUGUAUACCCCCAGAGCUUGUGAGCAGGACCUGUUUUGGAGAUGGGUCUUUGCAGAUGUCGUCGAGUUAAGACAAGGCCAUGCUGGAGUGGGGCCUGCCCUAAUCCAACGACUGGGGCCCUUGGCAGGAGAGGGAGGUUUGGGGAGAAGGCGCUGGGAAGACAGGCAGAGGCUGGAGACAGUGCAGCCCCAAGCUGGGAGCACAGGGGUUGCCGGCACCCAACAGAAGCUGGAGGAGGUGGGAAGGAUCCUCCCUAGAGCCUUGGGAGGGGGCCCGGUCCUGUGACACCCAGAUUUUGGAUUUCUGGCCUUCGGAACUGAGAGAGCACACAUUUCUGCGGUUUGAAGCCACCAAAUUUUUGGUAAUUUGUUCUGGCCAGGAAAUUAAUACCAGGGAUAAAGGUGUUUUAAUGCAGACAAAGACAGUUUUUGAAUUAACCAAGCUUUGCGCAAGGCUGCCGGGAUUGACUGGGGGAAGUGAGGGACUCAGCAGCUUCCCCGACGCUCGCCAGGCACCGGCCUCCAUACACGCUUGCUGGCGGUGGCUACGGCAGGUCGCUCUUCAGGUGAAACCACAUAAUGAGCAGCCUUAAGCCUGUCGAUUUACACAGCAGAGGCUGCCUGGCCUGGCGCUCUUCCUGGCUGGAGGACUCUGCCUUCCCCCUCUGCCUGCCUGUGGCCACUCCGGCUGCAGAGGAGACUGGCAGACGACGUUCUCAUCCCUGGUCGGGGCAAAAGUUCUGCUCAAAUAUGACAACGGUGAAACUCGGAAUAGCGACAGAGCCAACCCAUGAUUGAGGCAGGGCUGGAGGCUUUCUGGAAAACGCACGGAGAAACACGAGGGCCCAGCUGUGCCCUGGGCCGCCCCAUGAGUCCAGCCUUCUUCGUCCUAGUCCCUUCUCCAAAGAAAGGACAAAACCACUGAAAGGGUUCGUCUGGGUCACAAACGUCCCAAAUUGGCUUCCGCGUGGAAACUAAACAAGGGUAGGUCCCAGCCCCUGGGAUUCAGGUGAAACCCGAGGCCUGUCUGAGGUCACAGCGUCUUCCCGAGGACGUCAGCCCUGUUGGCUGUGUCUGGGGCCAGGCUGAGGCAUAGCGGGCCAGGAGGCCGAGCUUCCCAAAGGAGCUGCACUGUCUUUUCCUUAGAAUAUGAAAUCAAUGUCUGCCACCUUGAAUCCUCAUGGACAAGACUCCUUGGAAGCCAGCCUGUGUCAGGGCCAGCGUCCCCCAGGGCUGACACCUACACCCUCGCAUUCUCAGCGUGACUCGGGACAGUGGCAGAACCCGCUGGGUUCUCUCUACGGGAGUGCUUUUUUUUUUUCUUUUCUUUUUUUUUUUUUUUUUUUUUUUUGAGUCGGAGUUUCACUCUUGUUGCCCAGGCUGGAGUACAAUGGUGUGAUCUCGGCUCACUGCAACCUCCACCUCCUGGGUUCAAGCAGUUCUCCUGUCUCAGCCUCCCGAGUAGCUGGGAUUACAGGUGCACACCACCAUGCCUGGCUAAUUUUUGUAUUUUUAGUAGAGAUGAGGUUUCACGGUGUUGGCCAAGCUGGUCUCGAACUCCUGACCUCAAGUGAUCCACCUGCCUUGGCCUCCCGAAGUGCUGGGAUUUCUGGCGUGAGCCACCGCACCCAGCUCGGAGUGCGUUAUGACUAGAGGCAAAGACAGCAGCAUGAUCUUCAGCUUGCAAAUGAGACACAGAAUGACAAUGAAUCUUCACCGAAGUUAACUUGAACCUGGAUGGAUGAGUGGCCGGGUCGCCAAAAAGCUCCUCGGACCCUGCCAGAGUGUGAGCUCUGCCAGGAGGGCCGGGGCUCCAGGAUCCCAGGCUGGGCAGUCACUGGCUCCCCCAGGAAGGGCCACAUUCCGGUGGGCAGACAGAGGGUUGGGGAGGGUGGUGGGCAGCCAGCCGCCUGGAUCCCGGCCGGGGCACCGUCCCGCAGAGCUUGUCCCGCACAGACUCAGUUUCCUAACCCAGCAAGUGGGAGUCCACUGUGAGAAGUCCAGCCCUACGCAGAUGCGUGCGAAUCCCCUAAGAGCCAUGCCUGAGCCCUUGGCGGAAGCAGUUGGCUCCUCGUGUCAUGCAAAGGGCGGCAUUUUCAUUCCUAACAGGGAGGUGGCCCCGGAGCAUCCAGUUCAAAGGAGCUAGGAUGAUCCAGGGUCCUCUCACGUGGGCCUUGGUGAGUGGCCACACCCUCUGAGACCCCCUUUCAUCCCCAUAGAAAGGUCCUAGCAGGGCUGUGCCAGGGGGAUCCGCGGGUGGCAGGGUGGCCCCAUCUGCAGUGGGCCCAGGAGGAUAGCAACAGGACUUAGCAGUGGUGGGAUUGUAUUUCUGGGCCCUUCUUCCCCCACAGCCCACAGCCUCCUGACGGGACCCCUCCCCCCAGAACCUGAAGGACGGACCUCAGGUGUGGAGCUCCCUCACCAGACAGAGGGGAGGAGCCCAGGUCCAUCUCCUCAAAGGGACCCACCAGCCCCUCACGCGGCUGCACACAAGGCAGUCCCAGCCAGGCCCCAGGUUGAGGCAGACUCAGCCUAUGUCCUCAAGAGGCUCCCUGGAGAAGGCAGGACCCAGAAGCUUCUCUCUCGGCUGACAUGGCCUUUGCGGGCAGCCUUCCCACCCACAUCCCCAGCAUGAGCCCCAGCUCCUUGGAGCCCAGAGUCCAAGAAAUGGCCUUUCUGCCACUGACCCCUCCCGUGGAAUGGCUCCUCCCGAGCAGGGAACCUCUGCUGGGACCCGUCAGCUGCAAGAAGGCCCGUCCCCGAGAGAGCCCUGCAGGGCAAGGGGAGAGGGACCCCGGGGUAGGGGUGGAGAGCAGCUGAGGGGACAGACACAGAGAAGACCAGGCAGGGGCAUAGCCUGCUGAUGGGGGAUGCCAUCCUCUCGGUCACAGCUGAGCCAGGGCAGCCUCUAAGCUUCCUAAGUGGGGAAACCAAGGCAGAGAACCCCAGGACUGGGGCCACCGCUGUGGUCAGCCGGUUGGGGGUGGCCUGGGCCUCUCCAGUCUCCACUCUUCCAUCCAGCUUCAUGGGGAGCAACAUUUUUUUCACCUCAAGGCCAAAUUAGGAAGAACAAACAUGUUUUAUUUAUCAGUGUCACUUUUUUUUUUUUUUGUUUUAGAGACAGGGGUCUCACUAUGUUGCCCAGGUUGGACUUGAAUUCCUGGGCUCAAACAAUCCUCCUGCCUCAGCCUCCCAAGUUACUAGGACUACAGGUGCACCACUUAGUUACAUUUUUUUUAUACACGUGAAAACAGCUUUUUUGCUGGGCGCAGUGGCUCACGCCUGUAAUCCUAGCCCUUGGGGAGGCCGAGGCAGGUGGAUCACCUGAGGUCAGGAGUUCGAGACCAGCCUGGCCAACAUGGUGAAACCCCGUCUCUACUAAAAAUACAAAAAUUAGCUGGGUGUGAUGAUGGGAGCCUGUAGUCCCAUCUACUCAGGAGGCUGAGGCAGGAGAGUGGCAUGAACCAGGGAGGCGGAGGUGGCAGUGAGCCGAGAUCGCGCCAUUGCACUCCAGCCUGGGUGACAGAGUGAAACUCCAUCUCAAAAAAAAAAAAAAAAAAGAAAAGAAAAAGAAAGUAGUUUUUUUUCCCCCUAUGCUAAAAAUUCAAACAAAGCAAACAAGCAAAUUUUUAGAGAAGAAAAUUCCAUUGGCCACAAUCUGUAGCAGGGAGAGCUGUUUUUUUUGUUUUGUUUUUGUUUUUUUUUUGAGGCAGAGUCUUGCUCUGUCACCCAGACUGGAAUGCAGUGGUGCAAU